AGAGUUUGAUCCUGGCUCAGAUUGAACGCUGGCGGCAGGCCUAACACAUGCAAGUCGAACGGUAACAUUUCUAGCUUGCUAGAAGAUGACGAGUGGCGGACGGGUGAGUAAUGCUUGGGAACUUGCCUUUGCGAGGGGGAUAACAGUUGGAAACGACUGCUAAUACCGCAUAAUGUCUUCGGACCAAACGGGGCUUCGGCUCCGGCGCAAAGAGAGGCCCAAGUGAGAUUAGCUAGUCGGUAAGGUAAAGGCUUACCAAGGCAACGAUCUCUAGCUGUUCUGAGAGGAAGAUCAGCCACACUGGGACUGAGACACGGCCCAGACUCCUACGGGAGCCAGCAGUGGGGAAUAUUGCACAAUGGGGGAAACCCUGAUGCAGCCGUGCCGCGUGUGUGAAGAAGGCCUUCGGGUUGUAAAGCACUUUCAGUUGUGAGGAAAAGUUAGUAGUUAAUACCUGCUAGCCGUGACGUUAACAACAGAAGAAGCACCGGCUAACUCCGUGCCAGCAGCCGCGGUAAUACGGAGGGUGCGAGCGUUAAUCGGAAUUACUGGGCGUAAAGCGCACGCAGGCGGUUUGUUAAGCUAGAUGUGAAAGCCCCGGGCUCAACCUGGGAUGGUCAUUUAGAACUGGCAGACUAGAGUCUUGGAGAGGGGAGUGGAAUUCCAGGUGUAGCGGUGAAAUGCGUAGAUAUCUGGAGGAACAUCAGUGGCGAAGGCGACUCCCUGGCCAAAGACUGACGCUCAUGUGCGAAAGUGUGGGUAGCGAACAGGAUUAGAUACCCUGGUAGUCCACACCGUAAACGCUGUCUACUAGCUGUUUGUGACUUUAAGUCGUGAGUAGCGAAGCUAACGCGCUAAGUAGACCGCCUGGGGAGUACGGCCGCAAGGUUAAAACUCAAAUGAAUUGACGGGGGCCCGCACAAGCGGUGGAGUAUGUGGUUUAAUUCGAUGCAACGCGAAGAACCUUACCAGGGUUUGACAUCCUGCGAAUCUCUUGGAAACGAGAGAGUGCCUUCGGGAACGCAGUGACAGGUGGUGCAUGGCUGUCGUCAGCUCGUG
rnacentral:rRNA from 1 species